UGAAUUUGUAAAUUGCUACUAAUUUGAACUUUUUGAUGGUGAGAACUUUUUUUGUGUUGAAUCUGUUCUUGAUAUUUCAAAGUUUGAUUGUGUUUUCAAAUGGUGGCGUCCUAAUUGACAUAUGCCCGACUCCAAUUGCAGGUUAUGCAUUCAUCUGCAAGUUUUCUGGUUUAGUAGUGCUGCAGUUGGAAGUGGACUAUUCAUGUACUCCAGAAGAAGUGCAGCAGCAUUUCCAGUCAUGUGGAACUGUAAACAGAGUCACCAUCCGAACUGAUAAGUUUGGCCAACCAAAGGGCUAUGCUUACGUAGAGUUUCUUGAAGUGCAGGCUGUUCAAGAAGCUCUUUCGCUGAAUGAAUCUGAACUACACGGGCGUCAAUUGAAGGUUACUGCUAAGAGGACCAAUAUACCAGGGAUGAAGCAAUAUCGUCCUCGCCGGCCUAAUCCUUACCAGGGGUUUCGAGGCAGAGCCCCGUAUGCACCUCCUUUUGCUUAUGCUCCUUUUGGAUAUGGAAAAGUUCCGAGGUUUAGAAUGGGAAUGCGGUAUAGUCCCUACUAUUAAUUAUGCUGAAUCAGAACUUUUGUCUAAUGGAUGGAAGGACAUAACCUACUCCUUGUUCUAGUGUCAUGGCUGAUGCAGGCCAUUCAGCAUGAGGGAACGAACAGUACGACCACCGAUUUAGCAGCAAACCCUUGAGCAACUUGGUCACGAAAAAGCAUUGAAAAAUGUGGAAGAACUGACUCAGGAAUACGAUGUCUAGAGGCAUAGACCAAAUCCAAUUAUGGUAGUUAUUUUAUAACAGAGGGUAAAACCAAAUAACCAGGUAUCUUUAUAAAGUGUAAAUUUUAUUAUUCAAUUUUCUCGCAUGAAUACACUAACACGUUCAUGA